rnacentral:rRNA from 1 species
GACGAACGCUUGCGGCGUGCUUAACACAUGCAAGUCGAACGGAAAGGCCCUGCUUUUGUGGGGUGCUCGAGUGGCGAACGGGUGAGUAACACGUGAGUAACCUGCCCUUGACUUUGGGAUAACUUCAGGAAACUGGGGCUAAUACCGGAUAGGAGCUCCUGCUGCAUGGUGGGGGUUGGAAAGUUUCGGCGGUUGGGGAUGGACUCGCGGCUUAUCAGCUUGUUGGUGGGGUAGUGGCUUACCAAGGCUUUGACGGGUAGCCGGCCUGAGAGGGUGACCGGCCACAUUGGGACUGAGAUACGGCCCAGACUCCUACGGGAGGCAGCAGUGGGGAAUAUUGCACAAUGGGCGGAAGCCUGAUGCAGCAACGCCGCGUGCGGGAUGACGGCCUUCGGGUUGUAAACCGCUUUCGCCUGUGACGAAGCGUGAGUGACGGUAAUGGGUAAAGAAGCACCGGCUAACUACGUGCAGCAGCCGCGGUGAUACGUAGGGUGCGAGCGUUGUCCGGAUUUAUUGGGCGUAAAGGGCUCGUAGGUGGUUGAUCGCGUCGGAAGUGUAAUCUUGGGGCUUAACCCUGAGCGUGCUUUCGAUACGGGUUGACUUGAGGAAGGUAGGGGAGAAUGGAAUUCCUGGUGGAGCGGUGGAAUGCGCAGAUAUCAGGAGGAACACCAGUGGCGAAGGCGGUUCUCUGGGCCUUUCCUGACGCUGAGGAGCGAAAGCGUGGGGAGCGAACAGGCUUAGAUACCCUGGUAGUCCACGCUGUAAACGGUGGGUACUAGGUGUGGGGUCCAUUCCACGGGUUCCGCGCCGUAGCUAACGCUUUAAGUACCCCGCCUGGGGAGUACGGCCGCAAGGCUAAAACUCAAAGGAAUUGACGGGGCCCCGCACAAGCGGCGGAGCAUGCGGAUUAAUUCGAUGCAACGCGUAGAACCUUACCUGGGUUUGACAUGGAUCGGGAGUGCUCAGAGAUGGGUGUGCCUCUUUUGGGGUCGGUUCACAGGUGGUGCAUGGCUGUCGUCAGCUCGUGUCGUGAGAUGUUGGGUUAAGUCCCGCAACGAGCGCAACCCUUGUUCACUGUUGCCAGCACGUUAUGGUGGGGACUCAGUGGAGACCGCCGGGGUCAACUCGGAGGAAGGUGGGGAUGACGUCAAGUCAUCAUGCCCCUUAUGUCCAGGGCUUCACGCAUGCUACAAUGGCUGGUACAGAGAGUGGCGAGCCUGUGAGGGUGAGCGAAUCUCGGAAAGCCGGUCUCAGUUCGGAUUGGGGUCUGCAACUCGACCUCAUGAAGUCGGAGUCGCUAGUAAUCGCAGAUCAGCAACGCCGCGGUGAAUACGUUCCCGGGGCU